UUGCUAUCUGCGAUAUGGAAGAUUCGAACCUGCCGCAGGUUCGGGUCGAACGCAGUGAGACAACGGAGCCGUUUACGGCGACGGCCCGUAGGGCGAGGCGAAGCCGAGUCAUCCUGCACGACCCACCA
rnacentral:sRNA from 9 species